CUUCCCUGGCUGGUGGAUGAAGGCUGCAGUCCUCCCUUCAUGAACUUCUCCAUGGGCUACUCACAACAUGGUGUUGCAGGAACUACGAACAAGGAGUCAGGACACCGAGAUGUCUGGCGAGAAGCACUAAUGCAAUACAGGAGCUUGUUGAGAAAGCCCAGAGAAAUCAAGUGGCCCACACAAGGGGCUUCAUCUAUCUGGACCUCCUUCUUCACAUCCGUAGUGCAGGAUCGUAACAUCAGCCUCUCAGACAGACUAUGAAUACUGAAAGUCAACCAGCUGGUGCCUCACGGACCCUCAACAGCCAGCAUCUGCAGUGUCAAGUGUAUCAGCCCGGCAUACAAUGGUUAACCACCACGUCUGGCUAGAUGCCCAGCCCAGCUGGGCCAGAGAGCCACACACUUUCUUUCAUUAUCUUGGUUGCUGGGGGAAUUGGCAGAGAGAGACCCGUCCAGUGCCUCAAAUAAGACAAAAGUUACUAGGAUAGCCAGGGGCUUGUCUUCCGGGCUGCCCUGGGCCCAGAAACUUCUUCUCUAACCUACUUCCCAGAGGAUUUUUGGCCUUUCCACCACCUGCAAGAACAAGAAGAAGGUCAGAGAGCCCAUGGCCAGGGAAACCAGCCGGGAGCUGCAGAGAGCCUCUGUCCUUCCUGGGAAGUCAUCUUGCUUAGUUGUCUGUGUUGACACACAGGAGCUGAGGCAGAUGGACAGUUGUGAAUGAGCCUGUGGAUGUGACAGUUAUUUGCUGAGUGUGCCUGCUAUGGGCCAGGUAUGCCAACCCUGGCAGACAAGAUCCUCACACUCACAGAACUCAUAUUCUUGAAGAGAGACAAGCAGUAAAGAAGCAAAAAGAAAUAUAUCCAGUGGUGGUUCGUGAUCAAGUUCUCACUCUGAUCCUCAGUUUCAUCUUCUGUGAGAUGGUGACAGUCAACUGAUGCCAGGGUUCUUGUUCACCAAGUCAAAGAUGAACUUUGCAAACACUCAAGGUAGGAGAGCAAGGCAGAGGCUUUUAUUUAGAGAUAAAGCGAGAGGACAGAGCUCCUGGCUUGGGCAAGAGAGUCCAGGGUGGUGCUGUUGUCUAGGGUUUUAUAGGCAAUUGAGAGACAGACAAAGGGCUAGGGAUGCACACCUGCUAAGUGGUCCCAAAAUGUUUAUCUUUGAAGAGACAUUAGGUUUCUUAUUAGUCUUCCUGGUUGUUUACAAGAAAUGUUCUGCUGUGAUUUCCUCCCAGGAUAGCAGCUUCCUGGUCUGGGAGCGCAUCACUCAAGAUUGCCUGCUUUGCUCCCAAGGUGGGCUGAGUUAUUGUCUGUUUGUUAAAGAGGAUGUUAACUUACUUUUUAAGUAAUUGGGUUUUAAAAUGAAAUUUUUUAUUUUCAAGAUG